rnacentral:rRNA from 1 species
UACGUAGGGUGCGAGCGUUGUCCGGAAUUACUGGGCGUAAAGAGCUCGUAGGUGGUUUGUCGCGUUGUCCGUGAAAACUCACAGCUUAACUGUGGGCGUGCGGGCGAUACGGGCAGACUGGAGUACUGCAGGGGAGACUGGAAUUCCUGGUGUAGCGGUGGAAUGCGCAGAUAUCAGGAGGAACACCGGUGGCGAAGGCGGGUCUCUGGGCAGUAACUGACGCUGGAGGAGCGAAAGCCGUGGGGAGCGAACAGG